UACAGAGGGGGCAAGCGUUGUUCGGAAUUACUGGGCGUAAAGGGCGCGUAGGCGGCCGCCUAAGUCAGACGUGAAAUCCCUCGGCUCAACCGGGGGAACUGGCGUCUGAUACUGGGUGGCUUGAAUCCGGGAGAGGGAUGCGGAAUUCCAGGUGUGCGGGUGAAAUGCGUAGAUAUCUGGAGGAACACCGGUGGCGAAGGCGGCAGUCC
rnacentral:rRNA from 1 species